rfam:Picea glauca, whole genome shotgun sequence.
GCAAUGGUGUCUUUAGACACCACCACUUCUCUCGAAUCCAUUCUUU